AACACCGCUGGACUAGGACUAAAGGACAGUUCUCCCAUGCUCUCACUUCUCCAUUUUCUGCAAACGGACAGACCCUGUCUUACAAAAUCAGGCGGCUUCUCCCCAAAAGAUGGGACCCAAUAAACCAUUCGAACCAAACAUCCCCACCAUCCAACGAAUCAGAAUCCACCGAACCUUGAAACUAUCCUAUCUCCGUCUCUCAGCAAAGGCUGGCCGGACAAAAAUAGAACGUCUGCCUUUUACCGAGCAGAUAUUUUUCCCCGCCGAUUACUAUAUUAAAAAAAAUGGAGAUUUCUUAUCUCUCGGCAUCAACGAUUCCUUCAUUGAAUACUCCCAACUCCACUUCUAAUUACUCCUCCAAAAUAUCUUCAUUUUCUUCUCUCCAGUUUCCAGUACAGCUUCAUCGACUCCAGUUUCGAAAGAGAUGGAUUACCUCUCCUUCCCGACCCCCAAUUUUGCCAGUGAUUGCAGCAAAGAAGCAAACUUUUUCCACCUUAGAUGAGUUGCUAGAAAAGUCUGACAAACCUGUUUUGGUUGACUUUUAUGCAACCUGGUGUGGUCCCUGUCAAUUUAUGGCUCCAAUUCUAAAUGAAGUCAGUGCUGUCCUGGAAGACACGGUCCAGGUGGUGAAAAUCGACACUGAGAAAUAUCCUAGCAUUGCUGAUAAAUACAGAAUAGAGGCCUUGCCUACUUUUAUCAUAUUCAAGGAUGGAAAGCCUUAUGAUCGUUUUGUUAUUCCUUACAAGUAAACUGCACAACAAGAAUCAAAGAGAGGAUAAAGAUUUGCAUGUUGACCACAAGGCCUGCGUCCAUUAGAGGAGAGGGAUUCACCUCCCUCAACUUUAUAAUGAGGGUGCUUUGACUAAAGAUCAGCUCAUCCAACGCAUUGAAAAUUCACUGAAUGUCGAGCAAUAGCAACGCCCGGCUUGUUUGUAUCCAUUUUAUUUUAUUUCCAUAAUGUAUCUACAGAUCAUGAAAUUGCAGUCGAAUUGUUCUCACUCUCAUGCUCAUUUAUGUUAUUUGGCUCGCAGUUCCAAGAUCGAUACAAUAUGAAGCUAGUAUGUUUGGAUUCUUUACGGCUGAUCACCUUCCCCGUCCCAUCACUCCCUUCUUUUCUUUUUUCCUUUUUAGUCUCUCCAUGUUUGAAAUUCGUGAACGUAGAAAUAGUGACAGAAAUUGUUUAGGUUAGGUUCCUGAAUGUGGUGAUUGUUUUAACUUUGGAAGUUUUGCUAAUGAUUUGCAUCUGUUUUGUAA